rnacentral:tRNA from 2 species
GGUCUGGUGGUGUAGUUGGUUAUCACGUCAGUCUAACAGUUCGAGCUUCGUUCUACGACGUUCUCGCCUGGUUCACUGAAGGUCUCCGGUUCAAGUCCGGGCUAGAUCA